UGGACCAAUGAUGAGAGUAUAUCAUGAACAAAGGAUUGUAGUUAAUCAAAUUUAUGUAUCUGAGAUCAGUU
rnacentral:snoRNA from 10 species